rnacentral:rRNA from 1 species
AUUGAACGCUGGCGGCAGGCCUAACACAUGCAAGUCGAGCGAGCGGAGGCCGGGUGAGUAAUGUAUGGGGACUGCCCGAUAGAGGGGGAUAACUACUGGAAACGGUAGCUAAUACCGCAUACUAUCGGAUAACCCAUAUGGGAUUAGCUAUUAGGUGAGGUAAUGGCUCACCUAGUCGACGAUCCCUAGCUGGUCUGAGAGGAUGAUCAGUCCAACUGGGACUGAGACCGUGCCCAAACUCCUACGGAAGCAGCAGUGGGGAAUAUUGCACAAUGGGCGCAAGCCUGAGAGAGCCACGCCGCGUGUAUGAAGAAGGCCCUAGGGUUGUAAAGUACUUUCAGUCGGUAGGCGUUACCGACAGAAGAAGCACCGGCUAACUCCGUGACAUCAGCCGCGGUAAUUC